UCCCUGGCUGUCCAGUGGUUAGGACUAUGUGCUUUCACUUCAGAGGGCACAGGUUCAAUUCCUGGCUGGGGAA
rnacentral:tRNA from 1 species